rnacentral:rRNA from 1 species
GAUGAACGCUGGCGGCGUGCCUAAUACAUGCAAGUAGAACGCUGAAGGAAGGAGCUUGCUCUUUCCGGAUGAGUUGCGAACGGGUGAGUAACGCGUAGGUAACCUGCCUGGUAGCGGGGGAUAACUAUUGGAAACGAUAGCUAAUACCGCAUAACAGUAGAUGUUGCAUGAUAUCUACUUAAAAGGUGCAAUUGCACCACUACCAGAUGGACCUGCGUUGUAUUAGCUAGUUGGUGAGGUAACGGCUCACCAAGGCGACGAUACAUAGCCGACCUGAGAGGGUGAUCGGCCACACUGGGACUGAGACACGGCCCAGACUCCUACGGGAGGCAGCAGUAGGGAAUCUUCGGCAAUGGACAGAAGUCUGACCGAGCAACGCCGCGUGAGUGAAGAAGGUUUUCGGAUCGUAAAGCUCUGUUGUAAGAGAAGAACGAGUGUGAGAGUGAAAAGUUCACACUGUGACGGUAUCUUACCAGAAAGGGACGGCUAACUACGUG